AAGCCACGAUGGGGGCAUCUUUGAAAGAGGUCUUUGAAUAUCUCAUAUGCUUCAAAUAAUAUUUCGACCCUCCUUGCUUAAACGCUAAAAAUUUCUUGCCUUAGUUU